ACGAACGCUGGCGGCGUGCUUAACACAUGCAAGUCGAACGGAAAGGCCCCUUUGGGGGUACUCGAGUGGCGAACGGGUGAGUAACACGUGAGUAACCUGCCCUUGACUUCGGGAUAACUUCAGGAAACUGGGGCUAAUACCGGAUAGGAAUCCUUGCUGCAUGGUGGGGGUUGGAAAGCUUCGGCGGUUUUGGAUGGACUCGCGGCUUAUCAGCUUGUUGGUGGGGUAGUGGCUUACCAAGGCUUUGACGGGUAGCCGGUCUGAGAGGGCGACCGGCCACAUUGGGACUGAGAUACGGCCCAGACUCCUACGGGAGGCAGCAGUGGGGAAUAUUGCACAAUGGGCGGAAGCCUGAUGCAGCAACGCCGCGUGCGGGAUGACGGCCUUCGGGUUGUAAACCGCUUUCAGCAGGGGCGAAGCUUGUGGUGACGGUACCUGCAGAAGAAGCACCGGCUAACUACGUG
rnacentral:rRNA from 1 species